rnacentral:rRNA from 1 species
AUACGUAGGGUGCGAGCGUUGUCCGGAAUUACUGGGCGUAAAGAGCUCGUAGGUGGUUUGUCGCGUCGUCUGUGAAAUUCCGGGGCUUAACUCCGGGCGUGCAGGCGAUACGGGCAUAACUUGAGUACUGUAGGGGAGACUGGAAUUCCUGGUGUAGCGGUGAAAUGCGCAGAUAUCAGGAGGAACACCGGUGGCGAAGGCGGGUCUCUGGGCAGUAACUGACGCUGAGGAGCGAAAGCAUGGGUAGCGAACAGGAUUAGAUACCCUGGUGGUCCAUGCCGUAAACGGUGGGCGCUAGGUGUAGGGGUCUUCCACGACUUCUGUGCCGUAGCUAACGCAUUAAGCGCCCCGCCUGGGGAGUACGGCCGCAAGGCUAAAACUCAAAGGAAUUGACGGGG